AUUGAACGCUGGCGGAAUGCUUUACACAUGCAAGUCGAGCGGCAGCGCGGGGCAACCUGGCGGCGAGCGGCGAACGGGUGAGUAAUGCAUCGGAACGUACCCAGUCGUGGGGGAUAACUGUCCGAAAGGACAGCUAAUACCGCAUACGUCCUGAGGGAGAAAGCGGGGGAUCGCAAGACCUCGCGCGAUUGGAGCGGCCGAUGCCGGAUUAGCUAGUUGGUAAGGGUAAAGGCCUACCAAGGCGACGAUCCGUAGCUGGUCUGAGAGGACGACCAGUCACACUGGAACUGAGACACGGUCCAGACUCCUACGGGAGGCAGCAGU
rnacentral:rRNA from 1 species